CAUCCUUUCCAACAAAACAAGCUCCCAGGAGUACAUAAAAUAGAGAAAUGAGCCACAGUACCAUAUAUUCUUUAUAUACAGAGUCUGAUACCAUAUGCACACAAACCAAAACUGUAAAUGUUAUUUUAUUCACAUUUUCCUGAUAAAUAAGGUUACUACUAAUUUUUUUUUCACGGCAAAGUAUCUUAGCUUUUAAAUAUAAUACAGUCAAUUAUAAUAUACAAACUAUGGUGACUGUAAGUUAAGCUUUACACAGAAGGGAAUGGAAGAAACUGAUUCAUUCAAAAGCUGUUCUUGGGGACAUCCCUGGUGGUCCAGCAGUUAAGAAUCAGUGCUCCCAAUGCAGGGAACUCAGGUUCAGUUCCUGGUCAGGGAGCUAGAUUCCCUAUGCUGCAGUUAAGACAUGGCACAGCCAAACAGACAUAUAAAGAUGCUCUUUAUUAGAGAGCAUUUGGGACCACACCUGACAGCAUGCAGAUCUCUGCUCCCAUCCCACAGCAGUGAAAGCCUGGACGGAGUCCUACCCAUUACACCACCAGGAAGCUCCCCUAAAGAGCAUUUAUUGAAGGAACAAGUUUAUGUAUCUGCUUGGCUCAGUGAUUUUUAAGUCCUUUCAGUUCAGUCGCUCAGUUGUGUCUGACUCUUUGCGACCCCAUGGAC
rnacentral:lncRNA from 1 species